rnacentral:rRNA from 1 species
GACGAACGCUGGCGGCGUGCUUAACACAUGCAAGUCGAACGGAAAGGCCCUGCUUUUGUGGGGUGCUCGAGUGGCGAACGGGUGAGUAACACGUGAGUAACCUGCCCUUGACUUUGGGAUAACUUCAGGAAACUGGGGCUAAUACCGGAUAGGAGCUCCUGCUGCAUGGUGGGGGUUGGAAAGUUUCGGCGGUUGGGGAUGGACUCGCGGCUUAUCAGCUUGUUGGUGGGGUAGUGGCUUACGAAGGCUUUGACGGGUAGCCGGCCUGAGAGGGUGACCGGCCACAUUGGGCCUGAGAUACGGCCCAGACUCCUACGGGAGGCAGCAGUGGGGAAUAUUGCACAAUGGGCGGAAGCCUGAUGCAGCAACGCCGCGUGCGGGAUGACGGCCUUCGGGUUGUAAACCGCUUUCGCCUGUGACGAAGCGUGAGUGACGGUAAUGUGUAAAGAAGCACCGGCUAACUACGUG